GCUGCGACUGUUGUUUAAUCUUUUUAUAUCAUUCAGGCUAUUAUUGUUGUCUUUUAACUUUUUCCUAUUGUUUAUCACAUCACAGAUGCUGUUAUGAGCAUGACAUGUGCUAUCAAUCACUAGUGAAUAGGGAUAUAUGUGUUGUUGGUGCCUGGUGGUGGACGAGUUACAAACGUGAUGGUUGUAAUGGCUGUGGUAAGUUUAGAGACAUUCACUUCUGAAGCUCUCUAUCAAUUUGUAUGUCCUGGUUAAAAUAUGGUACAUGGUAAAACUGAUUUUAUGAUAUAUAUAUAUAUAUAUAAAAUCACCAAUGAUUCUAUAAAUUUCAGCAUCAAGCAACAGUGGUUGUGGUGCCGAACUCUGUUAUUGUGAUCAGACAGCAGCAAGAUGUUUCAGCAGAGCAUUAUACAACACAUCUCACGAAAACUACGACCAAGACAAAUGCCAGUGAACAACAACAAUGAUAACACUAAUAUAACACAUAAUGUUCAAGUUUUCAAGAAUUAUUAGAAAAUGAAAUAUGUAGUGAUAGUACCAUGGUUUAAAAUACAUUCCCAUGAAAAUGAUGUAGAACUAUGAACCGUAUAAUUAUAUCUUAGUUGCAAUGACGGAAUGACGGGAACGCACUGAAAGAUAAGUGCAAAAAGUUACUACAUCUUUCGAGGUCACUGUGUUGUGAUGUGCAAAAGUUAUUUGUUUUCUGGCUGGAUACAUCCGUUUCAACAAUAUAAAUUGUAAUAUUAAUUAACUAUAUAUUAUUAUAACUUAUGCAUGCAUACAUGCACUGAUCAUGAAACAACAGUCAAGUUCUAUCUUCUGAAAAUAAAAGUCUUGUUCAUA